GAAAAUUAUCAUGAUAGCGUGAUCAGAUGAACGCGAUUUUUACCCGUGCAAUUGAAACAUCUGCAUAGGACCUAUAAAUAAAUAUAAAUAAGAGUUAUUAUAGACGUAAAACUAGAGCUUCAUGUCAUUUGAAAAAAAAAAAUAACGAUAAUAAUUGUUACUACCGUUAUCUUUAAAUUAUUUGUAAAGAAAUAAAAAUUAACAGCAGAUUUACUUGUUUAUGCUGUCAAAGAAUUGAGGUGAUAUGAUUACUUUUUUAAAUUAAACUUCUUGCAAUGGUUUACGAGUGUAUUAUCAAAAAAAAAAAAAACAAAAGAUUUAAAGGCUCGUCAGCAAAGUUACUUUGCUGGAUUGCAUCAUCAUCACUUUUAUUUAUUUUAUUUAUCGCUCUGAAAAAUAAUUAAUAAAAAUAAAAUAAACAAGUUAUAAGAAAUAUGUUAAAAAAAAAAAAAAAUAAAUAAAUAACAGCUGGUUUGUAAGGCAUAGUCUGCUUUCGAAGAUAUGAUUGGUCGAGCUGAGCCGUGCCUCCAGAGCACGUUUCUCUUUACAGAUUUAAAAAGUGGGGAUAAUAAACAAGACAGAAUUUAAAGAAUGUGAUCUUACUAAGUAUACUACCAUACUUGUACUUAGAUACGUAUACUCCAAUACGCAUGCAAGUUGGCACGUAUAUACUUCACUGAUAAAUAAUUCAAUAAUUACCUUUAAAUGUAUCUACGUCAUCAUACUUUAUCAAUCACUUUUUUCUUGUAUGUUAAAUUUCAACUUUGGACUUGAUCUAGAUCUUUUUUUUUCAGCUUACGAUUGUAAUUAAUUCGGCAGUCGGGGAAUUCAGUAGAUUUUAAUUGAUUUCGUUGUCCAAGAACUCGAGUGGACACCGGUUGUUUUGUUUGACCCAAAGUGACAUACAGCAGUAAUGAAAUGAGUGAUUACACUCUCCCCAAACAACGACACAAUCCUGGCGACCGUCAAAAUCCUUUUUGCUUUCAGCUUGACAACGUAAACAUGCGUCUGCGUUGUCAUUGCUAACUGGCGAAGCUUAGACAAGUUAAAUCUCAUUUCAAGCGCUUGAUUUCGAAUUAAUAUGAUAUUGUCUAAGAAACAAUGACCGAUGGAGCUUGAGAUGAAGAGCAAACAUAAUAGUAUAUAAUAUGUGACAAUAAAUAAAACACACUGACCUAAAAUUACAUGACAUGGAUCAUUUGUUUAUAAUACACAGAAAUAAAAUUGGUGUAGUAAUUAACUUGAUACUAUGGCUUAUGCCGCGGUAUUGAAUACAGUUAUUGAUACUGGUGUUUAUGUGCGUGGUGAAAUUCCACUUGCUUUCAAUCAAUCAGAUAUAAAGCUUCAUGUGUUAAAUACGAGUAUUGUUAAUGAUCUAGAAGAUUCGAAUCGAACAUACUAUAAGAGUACAAGACAUAAACUUAAGUAUGUUUGUAGCAAUACCAUUUCUAACGAGCAUGUAUCGAAUCACUUAAUUGUGAUUACUCAUUUUUUACUUUUUGUCCACAAUAAUAACAUGUAGUAUAGGGUUAAUAAUGAUAAUAAUCAAUAAGCUUUUCUGUAAUUGAUUGUAAAAUACGUCACAGAAUAAUCAAGGCAAAGUAGACAGUCGAUUAACCUUUUCACGGGGGACCUUGCUAUCUAUGUAUCAAUAUAAUUUGCGACGUGCCUCCUUAUAAAUUAGUUUUAUAAGUACGAUAUGUAAACAUCUGUUUAAUUCGUUUUUAUUGUUAUAUAAGCACUAAUAAAUUAUGUAUAAGUAUAAUCA